GGUGCGGUGGCGGUUCGGAGUGAGGGUAGCACGUUGAGCUGAAGGCUGUGCGGAGCGGCGCGGCACAGAGCCUGGUGUUGAGCUCAGUAUGUCGUGGGAAUCCGGGGCCGGGCCAGGUCUAGGUUCCCAGGGGAUGGAUCUCGUGUGGAGUGCGUGGUACGGAAAGUGCGUUAAAGGGAAAGGGUCGUUGCCACUCUCGGCCCACGGCAUCGUGGUCGCCUGGCUCAGCAGGGCCGAGUGGGACCAGGUGACGGUUUAUCUGUUCUGUGACGACCAUAAGUUGCAGCGGUACGCGCUUAACCGCAUCACGGUGUGGAGGAGCAGGUCAGGCAACGAACUCCCUCUGGCAGUGGCUUCUACUGCUGACCUGAUACGCUGUAAGCUCUUGGAUGUAACUGGUGGCUUGGGCACUGAUGAACUUAGACUGCUCUAUGGCAUGGCAUUGGUCAGGUUUGUGAAUCUUAUCUCAGAGAGGAAGACAAAGUUUGCCAAGGUCCCCCUCAAGUGUCUGGCUCAAGAGGUAAAUAUUCCGGAUUGGAUUGUUGACCUUCGCCAUGAGUUGACCCACAAGAAAAUGCCCCAUAUAAAUGACUGCCGCAGAGGCUGCUACUUUGUCCUGGAUUGGCUCCAGAAGACCUAUUGGUGCCGCCAACUGGAGAACAGCCUGAGAGAGACCUGGGAGUUGGAGGAGUUCAGGGAAGGGAUAGAGGAAGAGGAUCAAGAGGAAGAUAAGAACAUUGUUGUUGAUGACAUCACAGAACAGAAACCAGAGCCUCAGGAUGAUGGGAAAAGUACGGAGUCAGAUGUAAAGGCCGAUGGAGACAGCAAAGGCAGCGAAGAGGUGGAUUCUCAUUGCAAAAAGGCCCUGAGUCAUAAAGAGCUAUAUGAAAGAGCCCGAGAACUGCUGGUAUCAUACGAAGAGGAGCAGUUUACGGUGCUGGAGAAAUUUAGGUAUUUACCUAAGGCCAUUAAGGCGUGGAAUAACCCGUCCCCACGUGUAGAAUGUGUCCUGGCAGAGCUCAAGGGCGUUACAUGCGAGAACAGGGAGGCUGUGCUGGAUGCUUUUCUGGAUGAUGGCUUCCUUGUCCCCACAUUUGAACAGUUGGCAGCUUUGCAGAUAGAAUAUGAAGAUGGUCAGACUGAGGUCCAGAGAGGGGAAGGUACUGACCCAAAGUCACACAAAAACGUGGACUUGAAUGACGUCAUGGUGCCAAAGCCGUUCUCUCAGUUCUGGCAGCCCCUGCUCAGGGGCCUGCACUCCCAGAACUUCACGCAGGCCCUAUUGGAGAGGAUGCUCUCUGAACUGCCAGCCUUGGGGAUCAGCGGGAUCCGGCCUACCUACAUCCUCAGAUGGACCGUUGAACUGAUCGUGGCCAACACCAAGACUGGACGGAAUGCUCGCCGAUUUUCUGCAGGCCAGUGGGAAGCAAGAAGGGGCUGGAGGCUGUUCAACUGCGCCGCCUCCCUUGACUGGCCCCGGAUGGUUGAGUCCUGCUUGGGCUCACCUUGCUGGGCCAGCCCCCAACUCCUUCAGAUCCCGGGUAGCUGAGCUCUGCUGGAGAAAACCACAUAGCCCUGCGGAUUGCUGCCACUGCAGAGCUUCCUCGAGCACAUGGAGGCAUCCGGCAGGGCCCCCUCGACCUGAGGUCCAGCCCUCGUGAACUGAUCUGCGGCUGCACUCAACCUUCUCGCCAGUCUCAGGAUGAGGUGGCCUUGCCCCACCUCAAAGCCUGCUCCUCCACCUGUGCUCUGGAGCCACCUCUGCCAGCAUCGCUGGGGCCUCACCCCAGCCUCUACCUUGCUCUGCUGGCUCUUGCUCUUCAACCUAGGAACGUGCCUGAGCUUUUCUCAUCUUAAACAAAACAACAAUAACAGCAACACAAGCAAAAUCUCCUUUGACCCUGCAUCCCUCUGUUGGGUUAUCAUCAGCUUAUCAUUCCCACCCUUCCCAUCAAAACAUCUCAAAAGAGUAGUGUACACUCAACACUCUCCAUUUCCUCACUACCCUCUUACUCCUCAACCUGCUGCAAUUUGACAUUCACCCCCAGAGUUGCUUUGACCUCCUAAUUACCAAAUCAGUGGGCCCUUGUCAGUCUCUGUGUCUGCUGCAUUGAUGCUGUUUACCACCCCCUCCUCAAAAAAUGCCUGUGCUUAUUACUAGUUCCUAUAAAGUGCUGAAACCCAAAUCUGUCUAGCCCUGGCCCCUCCCCCAAGAUUCAGCCUCCUGUACUCGACUGCAUGUCAGACAUCUCCCCUUGGAUGGCCCACAGGCACCUUACUGUGACCAAAAGAGAAUUGGUCGUCUCAGUCCCCAUCUCAACUCUAAAGUGAUCUUCCUCCUCUGUUCCCUAUCUCACUUGGUGGCGGCACCAUCUACCCUGUCCUGUUGACUCUCGAAUACUUCCCAAAUCUGAGGUUUUGUGUUGCCGUGUCUACUUCCCUUAGUGUCUCCUUCCCUCUAUCAGACUAAGCUUUUCAAGGGCAAGGACUCUACAUCAGCUGUCCGUGCCCCAGCACACCACACAAGUCUAGGCACCAAACAGGCCUCAGUAAAUGUCGUUGAAUUGAACCGUGCUCUGCUCUCUCAUUCCCAGCAGUGCUGUCCUUGGUGGGAGCUGACCCAGUGCCUGGGGAAUGAAUGAAGUGGGAGUCUGGAUGCCAAGACCCUCUUAGUCCCUGAUCCCCCUAUUGAGUCCAAAAGUCUUUCUUUAACCCUGAUGGCAUUUGGGACACAGAGGUAUUUGUAAGGUUUUAAAAGUGGCUUUGUAGACAAAGUCAGUCAAGGCAAGACUUCCAGGAGUUGGAACUGAACAGCCACAUUGCCAGAUGUGUGCUCCAGACUAGAAGUGAUGUGGAUGGGUGGGCAAUUGGGAGGAGAACCAAAAGGGCCUGGAUGAGUCAGAGUUUCAAGAGGAGGCAUUUGAACAAUUCAAGCAGGAGAAAGAAUAAAGCAAGUUUCAAAGUCCAGAAGGAACAUGGCAUGUGUAUAUAAUGGGAGGGAGGGAGUGACAAGAGCAGCAUGGAGAGGUUUGGAUAGGUGGCCUUCAAGGUACUUUCCAAUCCUAAGUGCCUGCAGAGUGGAAGCUGCUGGUCUUGGAGAAGUCUGGACCACAGAGAUCUUCUCCCAACCCAAGCAUACCAGAGGGAUGCGACACAUGCCAGCAGUAACAGCGGCUCACUUGGCAUCUUCAAAGCCAUGGGGCAGGGCCUGCCAGACGAGGAGCAGGAGAAGCUGCUGCGCAUCUGUUCCAUUUAUACCCAGAGUGGAGAAAACAGCCUGGUGCAGGAGGGCUCUGAGGCCUCCCCCAUUGGGAAGUCUCCAUAUACACUAGACAGCCUGUAUUGGAGCGUCAAGCCAGCCAGCUCCAGCUUCGGGUCUGAAGCAAAGGCCCAGCAACAGGAGGAGCAGGGCAGUGUUAAUGAUGUCAAGGAAGAGGAGAAGGAGGAGAAAGAGGUCUUGCCAGACCAGGUAGAGGAGGAGGAAGAAAAUGAUGACCAAGAGGAGGAAGAGGAGGAUGAAGAUGAUGAUGAAGAUGAUGAAGAGGAAGACAGAAUGGAGGUGGGGCCUUUCUCUACAGGGCAAGAGUCCCCUACUGCCGAGAAUGCUAGGCUUCUGGCCCAGAAAAGAGGAGCUUUGCAGGGCUCUGCAUGGCAGGUUAGCUCAGAAGACGUGCGAUGGGAGACAUUUCCCCUAGGCCGAAUGCCAGGUCAGACCGAGGACCCAGCAGAGCUCAUGCUGGAGAAUUAUGACACCAUGUAUCUUUUGGACCAGCCUGUGCUAGAGCAGCGGCUGGAACCCUCAACAUGCAAGACUGACACCUUGGGCCUGAGCUGUGGUGUCGGCAGUGGCAACUGCAGCAACAGCAGCAGCAGCAACUUCGAGGGCCUUCUCUGGAGCCAGGGGCAGCUGCAUGGGCUCAAAACUGGCCUGCAGCUCUUCUGAUGGCCAUCCCUGGUGCAAGUGUUCAUCCAGCCGUGCCAGGGCAACAGCCCACCCCCUAGUACAACUGAUGCUCCCUGAGACAACCUGGGAGACAGCCUGGAUCAGCCACAUCAACUCAGUUGUCCACCACAGGGGAAUUUUGAAUGUCUUUUGUUUUUGUUUUGUUUUGAAAAAUAAUAAACAGGCAACUGUA